CGACGAUCCGAGACCACCUAUGGAUUGAGGAAGAGGAGAGAAACAUGGUGGUAUGAUCAGAUCCAGCAAAUGUAGCCGGCGACUGGCGGCCGGCCACCGUGCGCGGUUGUUCCGGCGGUGGCUCCGGUGGACUAUGGAGAUGAUUCAACUUUCAGAGGCUUCCUCAUAAAUUUUUGAAAUUUUUGAGACACAGAUAAAUUUCGGGUGAUCGAGGUCAGCUAUUCUUCUGCAUCCAGCAACCACAAUAGUCAUCGGUGUACUGCUACAGGAGGAGACAUUUUUCAGAAUAACCUGUCCCUUUCCUCUCAGGUUAUGAAAAGAUUACUUAAUUGUAUUAUUAUUCUCUAAAUUUGUAAUUUAGGACUCCGCAUGUGCUAGUAGUAGCAUUAAGCCUAUCAGAGACUGUAUGAAUUC
rnacentral:misc_RNA from 1 species